CCAUCGAAAGGGAACCCGGUUAAGAUUCCGGAACCAGGAUGUGGAUUGUUGACGGCAACGUAAGUGAAGUUGGAGACGCUGGCAAGGGCCCCGGGAAGAGUUCUCUUUUCUCCUUAACCGCCUACGACCCUGAAAUCGGAUUAUCCGGAGCUAGGGUUAUAUGGUGGGUAGAGCACGACACCUCUGUCGUGUCCGGUGCGUCCUUGACAGUCCUUGAAAAUCCGAUGGAACGUAUAAGUCUCACGCCUGGUCGUACUCAUAACCGCA
rnacentral:rRNA from 1 species